rnacentral:miRNA from 1 species
UCACUAGUGCUGGCACCUAAGA